rnacentral:rRNA from 1 species
AGUGAACGCUGGCGGUAGGCCUAACACAUGCAAGUCGAACGGCAGCACAGUAAGAGCUUGCUCUUACGGGUGGCGAGUGGCGGACGGGUGAGGAAUACAUCGGAAUCUACUUUUUCGUGGGGGAUAACGUAGGGACACUUACGCUAAUACCGCAUACGACCUACGGGUGAAAGCAGGGGAUCUUCGGACCUUGCGCGAUUGAAUGAGCCGAUGUCGGAUUAGCUAGUUGGCGGGGUAAAGGCCCACCAAGGCGACGAUCCGUAGCUGGUCUGAGAGGAUGAUCAGCCACACUGGAACUGAGACACGGUCCAGACUCCUACGGGAGGCAGCAGUGGGGAAUAUUGGACAAUGGGCGCAAGCCUGAUCCAGCCAUACCGCGUGGGUGAAGAAGGCCUUCGGGUUGUAAAGCCCUUUUGUUGGGAAAGAAAAGCAGCAGGUUAAUACCCCGCUGUUCUGACGGUACCCAAGGAAUAAGCACCGGCUAACUUCGUG